rnacentral:rRNA from 1 species
GUUCGGUGCCCUCUCCCGCUCAAAUUCGAGCGCCCCGGCUCCUACCACUCCAUCUAACCAUCUCCAGUAUCCUCCACCACCACCCUAGUCCCUUCCUAGAAGCUCUCCGCCUCCUCCCCGUGGCAGUGGCGUCGUGCCCGGAUUUGCCCGUGGUCGCAGUCCGCCGCGGCCGAGGCCCCUCCCUCUCCUGCAGUUUCCGGCCAGUGUGCUACCUCCAGGCGGGUGCGCCACGCAACUCUGGUCAUUUCGGUGGCCGGAGCGGCACCUAGGGUGGACCGAGCCGCCGGGACGGUCGCCGGCGCCGGGCCAUGCCUCUGUUCUGCGGGCACGGACGAGGUAGAAGACGGAGGACCAGAGAUAGGAGUCAACGCGGGACCCACCGUCAGCCACUCAGCCACCGGGCCCGCGUGAGUAAGUAGAAGCGCAUUCGCUAAAAUGUGUUUACCCUUCCGGAAAGCGUGUGUCUUCUACUGCUUCGGUCCGGAAGGCGUUUUCAUAUGUAGAAAGAGUACUCUGGUUCUACUACGGCUGAAAGUGCGUUUUAUUUUUCAGAAAGCGUGUCUUAAAAGAAGGCGCUCUCUGUUUUAACCACCAGGGACUUGUUUGUGGAUAUUUAUUUUACAGAUUAGUCCCUCGCAUUCAUCCAUCUAUAUCGUCCAUAACUUUGAAUCAGGUGAUUCCAAAGCCCACGUUCUUGCCUCAUCGAGCCCAUUUUGUUGGUGUCGUUUUCACUAUGUGCUCACAUACUAUAAAUGACGAUAUUGCCCUUGCCCUUAUCUAUCCCCUUUUAAGAGAGAACCAUUCCGGCCAAAUCGUUCCACGACCUCACCGCACUCCUUCUCAGUGUAUCCUUCACCCUCAGGCAAGCCACGACAACCACUUGCAUGAUGGGCCUGUAGUAGCCAUGGUUCCCACUUGAAUAUUAAUAUUGUUUGCGCAUGUUAAUAUUUUCUGAAUGUUAUAUAUAUAUUUGGC